rnacentral:rRNA from 4 species
GUGACCCCAGGACGGGCGAGGCCACCCGCUGAGUUU